UCCUCCCCCUUCCACAUCAGUUCCUCCACCACCAACACCUCCCCCUUCCACAUCAAUUCCUCCACCACCACCUGCUACAUUGUCUGUCCCUCCACCUCCUCCUCCUCCUCCUCCCCCUCCUCCUACGUCUAUUCCUGCUCCUCCGCCUCCACUACAAACUUCAGAUUCAGCUGAGCUCAGCCAAUAUUUGUCAGAUAUUAAUGACACAAUGGAUGAACUAAUGAACUACUAGCCAUAGCCACUCCACUAAUUUCAACUAUUAGAUUUCAAGAGAAGACAAUAAUUUAUUUUUUUUAUACCGGUGAACGUGUAUUUGUAACUUAUUUAUUGUAAAUUUUUUACUGCUAGUUUUUUCUUUUCAAAAUAAAAAAUAAACUCCAUUUUACACUUCUAGUUUUGUAUACCAAACAGAAUUAACAUAAUGCAUAGUCAUUAUUAUUAUUAUCAUUAUUAUUAUUAUUACCUAUACUACAUGUAUUAUUAUUAUUAUUUUUAUCUUGUGCUGUAUAUGUUACAUAGUUUUAUUGAUUAACUGGAAAAACA